rnacentral:tRNA from 1 species
GCGGGAGUAGCUCAGUUGGUAGAGCAUCAGCUUCCCAAGCUGAGGGUCGCCGGUUCGAGCCCGGUCUCCCGCUCUA